ensembl:rRNA 5S_rRNA 5S ribosomal RNA
GUCUACAGCCAUACCACCCUGAACGCUCCCGAUCUCGUCUGAUCUCGGAAGCUAAGCAGGGUUGGGCCUGGUUAGUACUUGGAUUGGAGAUACCAGCCAAAAUGGUCAGACA